AGCUUUGCACAGUGGCAAUAUCGUGGCCAAUGAGGUUUACCUGAGGUGCGAUUAUUGCCAAUUGAAAAAAAAAAAAGAAAACGAUG
ensembl:snRNA U4 U4 spliceosomal RNA